AAUAGACUAGUAAAAUUUACUGUAUUGAUGUUGGUAGCGUUGAACUGUCAACUGACAUACGUCAAAAAUAAAUCUGACAAAGAACUUAGAUGAGGAGGAAUAUAAACUAGAUACACUAAAUAAUACUGGUAGAAAAAUACACGCGUCCUCGACCGACGCCUGAUGCCAGGAUGUCGUUAGUGUCGUUCUGGUGGGCUGUCAGUUGUCACCGGAACUGCCGUGGUUGCGGAUACGCAAGAGGCUACGGUUGUCUGUGCUUCCAGUGACGCCAUACAAUUAAUGACAUAACCUCACUAAUUUUAAUAAUUAAUAAAUAAUCAAAAAGAAAUUUGAUUUAAAUUAUCGUAAAAAGUACAAUUAUUGUACACAUUAACAAUAACAUGUGACGUGUCGUUGGAAUUUAUAGUGACACCAUGUAAAUUCUGGUCAGACACAAUAUUUUAAACAUUUUUACUUUUGCCUAUAACAGAAAUGUUUCUAUUUGUGCUAUAAUCAGGUUGUUCUGAAAUGGUGGAACAUCCAGCCUCAACAUAACCUUCGGCAACAGCGGAAGAUUUCCAGCCUCCAUGGCCUUUAAUGGUCAACAAAUCACCACCAUGAUUAGCCAAAUGUGUCGCACUAGUCCUUCUGAAACAAUGUCCCGUAAAACGUUCUGGGUUUGGCAACUUAAAAAAAACUGCAAUCUCUUUUGGUAUGGAAACCAAGAUGAAAUCUGAUUUAUAUUCAAUAUCGUCAACAGACAAAUUCGUCAGUUCCUCGCGCCUACAUGCCCCAUUAUACCCCAUUAUCAAGAUGACCUAAAAGUUUAUCAGAUAUAAAGUUAGAAUAAAAAUAUGAAAAAUUAGGUUUUACUUUUAUAGCCAGGUAUAUGUUAUCAUUUGCUUCUUGAAUAAAUUUAUGAAUAUCAUCUUCUU